rfam:Xenopus laevis strain J chromosome 8L, whole genome shotgun sequence.
UUGCAAUGAUGCUUCUGAAUUUCUUCACCUGACUGUAUAAUGAAGAUUAAAACGAGCUUUUUAACCCUGAGCCAU